CCCCCUGCCCAGCUCAUUUCUUUGGAGAUCCUCAAGCAAGAUGUUCUUGUGUUGCCUACCGAAGUCCAGAAGAUGCAGAGAGAGGAGAGCUCACCCACCAAACACUUCCCCUCACUGGGGAGGUCGUGUCAGGGCUCCCCGAUGCCUCUGGCCAUUUGGCCAGAAGAAUCAAAAGGUCAUGGAUGAAAUAGGAAGGAGGUGGGCAGACACGCACUCCUCCCUGACCCAGGAGUCCCUGGUCCUGGGAAGGCCUCCAGUACCUCCCAGACCACUGCCCCCGGUACUCCCAUCGGACUGCAGUCCUGGACACGGGGCCCACGGAGGCCAAGUCCAAGGCUACUCCAGCAGAGGAGCUAGACCCACUCCCAAUUUCAGCAACUCCGGAGGGGGACGUGGUGACUGGAGACACUUCGGCAGGAGAUCAGGAGCCAAUAGGUGACCCGGCGCCUGCCCAGGGAGAUACUGAUGCUGUCCAGGGAGAGCUGGCUCCUGCUCCUGCUCCUGCUCCUGCUCCUGCUCCUGCUCCUGCCCCCACACCUGCUCCUGCCGCUCCCCCUUCCCCUGCCCCUGCCAGAGCUACUCCCAUUUCCCCUGCCCUUUCCUGUUCUUCUGUUCUGGCCCCUGACCCAGAUCCUCCCUUGGUCCCACCCCUUCCCCGGCCCCUCCCUGUGCCCCUGUUCCUGCCCCAGAGCCAGACACUGCCCCUGCUUCUUCCCCUUCAACUGCCCCCAACCCU